UGUGGGCAGAUGAGGAAUCUCAUAUUUAAAUGGGUAGUUUGCAUCUGAAUUGUUCCAUUGAUGUUAUCACCAGUCACCUUGGAGAUCUGAUGCCCUGA